rnacentral:tRNA from 1 species
GCCGAUGUAGCUCAGCCGGCAGAGCAGCUGUUUCGUAAACAGCAGGUCAAGGGUUCGAAUCCCUUCAUCGGCUCCC